UCAUAAAUAUUAUUUAUAUUGUAUAUUUGCUCCUUGUUUGCACUUCGACUGCUUCUUUAAAAAAAUGUAAAAUGAAGAUAUGUUUCUAAGCAUCUCCCUCGUAUAACGCCAAUAAAGAUGUCGCACCUUAUACCACUCUACCCUCCAUCAUCCACAUUCAGCUAAUAAAUAUUUUAUUAUGAACAUAAAAUAACAGUAUAUUCAAUUCCACUUCUCUGUAAUGUCACUGAUGCCUCCAUUGCACUUAUAAAAUUAAAUCAAUAAAUGAUUUCAAUUUGUUUGCUUAAUGAGAUUUUCCUUUAUGCUUUUAUUUUGUAUCCGUCUACAUAGAAGUGCAAGCUGAAAUCUUUUUUUUCUGCACUGAGCCGACUUGACAAUGUGCUGUUGCUGGCUCCACCCACUUUAUGCGAGGCUCCUCCCAGGAGAAAGCAGAGCCUCUCUUAGUAGAAAUAAUGGCGCCCUCUAUGAAAUGAUUCCACACAAUUCAGCGCUGCUUUGAUAUUGAUACGGCUGCUCAUUAUGAUCAUUUUUUGCAAAGUGUUUGGACCUGUUGUGAAGCAGAAGUGGCUUGCUGAGGCAGAAUUCUAAUUGGAGCCUCUGAGAAGACGGUGGAGGCCAAGGCUGGGCUGUCAUGAGUGUUAAAACCCAGGAGGGUAAUUCUCAGGACGCAAGACUGACUGUCCCGCUGAGAAUUCCCGCAGCAAGAGAUUCUGAGCAAAAUAUGGACAGAUGCUGGGCUGCUAUCCCUCCGGCUAGGUAUAAAAUAAUCACAGUUUAAUGGUACAGCAGAACAGGAUGUGUAAUAAACCGGAGGCUUUAAUAGCCUAAUUCUAUCCCA